CCUGCUUUUGUGUUAUCUACUUGCUCGAGCCCAGGAUGCGGUCCUGGGAUCGCUUUUCUCUCUUAACACUUCAGUGCCUGCGGUCUGGAGCCCAAUUAUGUAACCGCUUCUGACGUGAGGAGUAACGAGGGUGCUGCAGACUCGAUUCGAUCUAAUUUCCCGUCCUCUUUUCAAUUCAGGCUUUGGUCUGCGUUUAGACAAAGGCGCUUUUGAGAACGAGGGAGAUUUGGCGAGGAGGAUGGGGCGAAAGCCUUUAAAUACUUGCAUGUAGCCGUAAGCAGGCGGUAAGGCUUUAGACCUGUGUGAGAUGUAGGGGGGGUGCCGACCCGUGCCCGGCUGCUCUGAGGUAUUCGCGUGCCCAGCCUGAGGAUGAAGCCAGCCUUGGGAAGUUCACUGCACUGAGCAGAGAACGGAGCCUGAAUCGCAGCUCCUUCACCCUCAGCUCACAAGGAGGUGGGCUUGGGUGUGCGUGCUCUGAACCUCGAAGGAAAGAAUUCUCUUGAAAGUUCUUGGAGGCCAACGAGUGAGUUGACCUCAGGUGUAUGCUUGAACACUUCUCAUGCCUAGAAAAUUGAGGCUGGAGCAAUCCUAGGUGCUACCUCUGUACUGACACGGCAGAGUAGAUGCAACUUCUUCAUUAGAGCCUGCUUUUCCACUGGAGGAGGAGGAUGUUUCUGCGCUCUGGGGAAAUGUGGAAGCUCAGCAAGGAUAGCCUGUGACUGCAGAUGAAUACCAGUGUUGAUAAAUCUAUGAAGUUCAGCUCUCCCAAAGUUGCAUGAAUGAGCAUCCUUUCUGCUUGCAGAACUCUUGUCAAAGUGAGGUAAUACUGUUCACUGGUGGCGUCUGUGUUAUGUUUCAUUUUGAGUGUCAGUAUUGCUAGGGUGGAGAUUCAAGCCACACAAGGCACAAAAAAGAAAAAACAACAACAAAAGGGAUGAAACUGGAGAAGCAAAGGGAGCUUGUCAAAGCCUGUAGAGAAGAAGUGAGGAUAAUUAAUCAGAUAAAUGGAGAUAGAGGGCAAGUGUGCAGAGGGAAUAUUCUGAUGGAAACAAAAAGCAGUGGAAUGAAAAUGAACUCAGAAGAGGGCACUACUGAAUUAUUUUCCUCUGCACAUAGUUUUGUGGUUCCCUGGAGCUGGGAGGCAUGAGCAAACAGUGAAGGCCUGAAGAGCAGUGACUAAAGGGCUGCCCUUCUUAACGACUGAAAAGAAAACUUUGGAAGAAUGAUUUGGAAUGAUUAUGAGGAAACAAGAAGGCAAGAAAUUUGAGAGAUCCACAAAACGGGGUAUUAGAGCUUUGCAAAUGGGAUCAUCUGAGCCCAUAAUACUGCUGAGCUGAUCAGCUGUGGUUAGGCUACGAAGACGAACGUGAAGCCCACUUUUGUUCUUGUAGUUCAUCCUCCUCCUGACCAAGCUGACUGGGAAAUGCUAACUGUACUGAUGUGAAAAUGAUACAGCCGAAGGAUCUCUAGCAGUAACAGCCUGAAUUAUUACCCAAGCCUGCUCAGAGUAAGAGCAAGAAGAAACACAAAGGUGCGUGGGUUGGGCCCUCUUGGGCCGGUGGGUCACAUACGGUGCUGCGAGGUGCGGCCCUCCAGCCGGACUCAGUGCUCCGAGCUUGGCCAGUCAGCCAGCUCUCCAUCCACCUCGCUGACCACUCAUCUGUCCCACAUGUCCUAAGCUGCUUUAGAAGGUUGUGAGAGACGGCCUUGCUGAAGGUGAGGUACACAACAUCCAUUGCUCUCCUCUCAUCUACCUGGAUGGUGAUGACGUUGCAGAAGGCUGCCAGUUUGGUUGAGCAUGGUUUCCCCUUGGUGAAUCCAUGUUGACUCCUGAUAACCUUCUUCUUUCUGUCUGCUUGGAGAUGGCAUCCAAAAUAAACUGGUUCAUCAUUUUACGUUGACUUUUAUAUGCCAUGGUGUCAGAUAUGCUUCCAUCCAAAGGAUUUAAUCAGUUCUCCACAAUGUGGAAGUUGAAGAACAUCUUUCCUGUAUUAAAAAUAUUAAGAACUUAAUCCAUGAGAAUUUAGUACUUGUGAAAGAAACAGCUUCUUCCAUUUGCGGCAUCCUUAAACAGCCAUUUUUGAUAUCAGAUAACAAUCUGAACUCCACGCCCAACCUUGGCAUCUGCAGUCAUGACAUCACUGAGGUAGGAACUGCAUCAUGAGUUCCUUACAGGGGCAUUUAAACCUAACUUGCAAGUGCCCCAGACCCACAAUUCCUACAGUUAUGACCCAGUUGCGUUUCGCACUGCAGAGAGUGCACAUGUAUUCCAAAUAAUGGGUUUCCCUUUCUCACAGGUAAACAUUUACAGUGAAUUUGCAGACCAGUUCUGUUUAAAACUAAGUUGUAUGAAAAGCCUUUAGCAUUUUCAUGUUCACUUUAUUAUCUGGUAAUAGUAUUUGUUAGUUAUGUAUGUAUGUUUGUUAGUGUACAUUAGUUAGAGAUUGGUCUGAUAGUUUUUCAUGCUUUACCCACAGGAGGUGCCCUCUCCCCCUCUGCCUUCUUCCCCCCAUAUUCCUCCCCAAGUUCCUCUUCCCCAACAAAUAACUAAAUACAUACAGAGCCCCCAAAGACUGUGAAUGUUGAUGCGUUAUUUUUGUUUCCCUUGGCCAAGGAGAGGUUGUGAAUUUCUUCUUACCAAUCCAGUAAAAUAAUAAUGCAAAUGUUUAAAGCAGUUGUAAAUCAUUAAUUUGACAGGAACCCACCUAACAAUCAAAAUAAGUUCAUGAAAAAAAUGACUUUCAUAGAGAAAUCUGUUGCCUAUCUCUCAUCAUACAUGGUAUCUACCCUAAUCCAAGGUGAAUUUCUUUUCAUCCUGUAGUGAUUCAAAAACUGAGUCAUCUUUCAUCUGCUUAGUAAGGAUAAAAAUGUGCCCAGAAUACUCCAGGGCUGCUGUGUUCCACGGGGCCCCUUUGUGCUUUCUAUAAUAUACUCAUAGUUCACCAUGGGGGUUCUUAUGUGGUUUCAUUUAUUUGUGAAGCCUUCUUAUUUUUAGAAUGAGCUCAUGCUCUGCUGCAGGGUCCAAGGUUUCAUGGCUAUAUAGAUGGAACUAUAAUGCUGCCAUAAAUCUGUCUUAAAAGAAGGAGACUGCAGAAGUAGGACGAGGUAGAAUCUUCAGAUGUUAGAAGGAAAAAAAAAGUCAAGAAAGGGGAUUUGAGUUAAUCUGAAACUGGCUGGCGGACUGUUUGCAAAGGUACCGUAGCGAUUUUUGUUCAGAAGGUAGUGUUUGUUUGUAAAAGAUUGCCAUGGUGUGCUCCAGAAACAAAAUGAGUCAGAGUUCCGAUGAACGUAGACUUAGGAGCAUGACAGCAGCACAGAGUUGUCUAUGGAAAGCUGUGCAGAGCAGCUGCUGGCAGGGAGAGCAUGGCAUCGACAUGGCAAACCCAGGUGUCAUCUGUGGCCCUUCAGAGCAGCACACUCAGAACCAGAGAGUGACUGUGUAUGUGUGAUGUGUAUAUAGAUGUGUACGCACACGUUUUUCCCCUGCUGAUGGACUAGACAAACACUUGUACAGGGUGGAGGGAGACCAGUAGCACUGGCAUUGCUGUUGGAAUGAUGCUGCCAGGCACGCUGUCAGCACUUAGGACUCACUCUUAUUUGCAAGGACAAAAUCCUGUAUUGUCUGCUGCUCACUUGCUUUUCAUUCAUACAUAAUGCAUUUAUGCAUUCUGGAGAGGUGUUGUAUUCAAGCUCAAUAACAUUACUUUUGUGUUAUUUCAUUUACUGUACUUUUUCUUUUCAUUUUGCUUUUAUGCUUCACUUGAUGUUAUGCUAAAAUUACUGAUGAAAGUUAUAUUUCAAAGAGUUCUUAUGGAACCGUUGGAAACAUCCGAGUCUGCCAUGCUGCUGUCAUUGGUUCUGGUGAGAAUGGCUUUUCUUCCCUAGCCUGCAGACAGGCAGAGUUCUAUUUUGCAGGCAGUGCUGUGGUGAUCAGCUGAGUAUAACACGUUCUAGGACCUCUGGGAUGUCAUGUGUGUGAUGCUGGAGACAUCUGAAGGAAGUGCAUAAAUAGGAGGGGGAACGGCUCUUUGUGAGGGUGGAUGGUGAUGGGACAAGGGGGAAUGGCUUUCAACUAGACAGGGAAGGUUUAGGUUGGAUAUGAGGAGGAAUUUUUUCACCCAGAGGGUGGUGAGGCACUGGCACAGGUUGCCCAAGGAGGCUGUGGAUGCCCCAUCCCUGCAGGCAUUCAAGGUCAGGCUGGAUGCGGCUCUGGGCAGCCUGGGCUGCUGGUUGGUGACCUGCACACAGCAGGGGGUUGGAACUGGAUGAGCACUGUGCUCCUUUUCAACCCAGGCCAUUCUAUGAUUCUAUGCCUGAGAAGUACAGUUUCUGUUGCCAACAGGUGCAUGGGCUUGGAUGAUGGUCAAUAUAUAUUUUGCUUAUUUUUCAUAAAAUUUAGUUGUUUUUUUCUUGUAAUAUGGGCAGUACUGUUUCUUUCAACACCUCUGAGAUUUUGACUUUCUCUGAUGUUGUGAAGAAGAAUAUUUGCUGUUUUCCUUUUCACUUUGAUUUAAAUUGUGUUCCUUAGGAAUUUAGGAGUGUUAAAAAUUAAAAUUUGAACAUAAGAAAUUCCAUACAAACAUGUGGAUGAACUUCUUUACUCUCAGAGUGGUGGAGCAGUGGCACAGGCUGCCCAGAGAGCUGGUGGACUCUGCUUCUGUGGAGGUAUUCAAGACCCAUCUGAACACUGAGCUGUGUGACCAAUUGUAGGGAACUGCUUUAGCAGGGGUUGGACUCAGUGAUCUUUUCAGGUCCCAUCUUGGCAGGUGCUAAAUCGACAGCCCCAUUAAGUGAGCUUUGUGUGUUCAGCAUUAUGCAAAAGAAGGUGGCUUUAGGCAAAUAGCUUCAUCUGAAGCCCCCGUUGCGGAGAAUUCAGCAGGCCUUGUUCUUUUAGCUUAAUUCUCUCUCUAAACGAAUUAAAUUCUCUUUGAAUAAAUGUGUGUAGGAACAGUUCUGCUUAAAAUUUGCACGAUAUUUUCAUCUGAUUUAAUUUGCUAGGUAGACAACCAAUAAUUUCACCCUUGUCUUGAAUAAUUCUAUAUGCGAAUAACAGCAAAGGGUGAAAAAAAUAAGAUGACUGCUCUUAUUUGUGGGGGAAAAUAAUCGUUAUGAAAAUACAGCAUUCCAGCACCUAUCUGUUCACUUUCUAUGUAUUCCUCAUCAAUGGGGUGAAAAGCAAAUGAUGAUGGUUCUUUCUCUGCUCUCCUUUCAGUGAUUGUUUAGUACUAGCAAAGACUAUUGCCUGAAAGAUUCAGCCCAACGGUGAUCCCUUCCUGUUAAUGUGCUCUUCUUGAAAAUAAAUUUGGAUUGGGAAAAUUCUGUUUUAUCAUGAAAAAUAAAGAUCCAAAUGUUGCAAAUAGAUUACUUCCAAACCUCUUCUCGUCCUUUCUUUUAAACACUUAUGGCUGGGAGGAUUUUACCGUUACAUUUUUCUGAAUCUAUUAUAGUUGGCUUUUCUUUUAUUGCUGCACCACAGCUCCAAUCAUCUGGAAAUCUUUUCCACCUUAUUCUAAUUAUUCUUUUAAAUUUCUCUCCUCUUGCUCUUUUCCAUCCUACUUCAGCAUAUCUCAACCUCAUCUUUAUUAAUAAGAACUUCGGAGUAUUUGGAGGAACAGUGAGUUGUUCAUGCGGUUUCUAUUAGGUAAGUUGUACACCAACUAGGAAAAUGAAAUUAGAAAAACUAAGCAAUUUGCCUUGGGGAAGUUUGGUUUGUGAUGCAGGAUUAAAAACCUAUUGCUAACCUUCCAUUUUGUGGAUCAGAUGGCCUUGGUCUGCUUUCUCAUCUUUAUGUUUCUGACCUGUAUUCCUUUCCCUUUCCGGCCUCCAUAAAUCCCCCUGCAUUCAUUCAGGCAGCACCUCUGCCCAGGCUGCUGCCAGAUGGCUUUAGGCACCAAGCUGGUCCUGGACGUGCUGAUUCAGCACAGAAAGUGGAGUCUUUGUGGCAGAGACAAUAUUCUGUGAGGACCACUGGAAAAUAUACUGGAGCUGGGCACGGCCACAGCUCUUUACCAGCUGACAUACCUUUCCAGAAGCUUUGCUUAAUGAGGACGUUACUCUGAGCUGGGGAUGCUUCCUGCAGGCGCAGUUGUGUUUUUACAGUCAGCUCAGGUCCUGCAGAACUGCCAGUUUUCCUGGACCUGCUGCAAGGGACUCAGGAUCCCAAGGACACCUGAUCAGACUGCACUGUUACUUAGAGUUUGGUCAUGUCCCAGUAGCAAACCUCUGCCCCUUGUUCCGUUUGCUGUGCACUGUGUGGGCUCUUCACAGUUGGCUUUUGGACUUCUUUUUUUAUUAACUUCAGUAGGUGACAUUUUUACUUAAAAGUUGAUGACUCUAUUACCCAUUGCAAUCGGCUGGUGAUGCUGGUAUCUGCUCAUCUUUUCAUCCCGUUUAAAAAAAUGGGAUUAUUCUUAAGGAGUACACCUCUGCUAUAAUUUCCUUUUAAACUCAGAGCUUUUUGACUCAUGGCAGGAGAAGUAAGGUUUUAGGGUAUUCAGAAUUCCUUUUUUCUGGUUGGUUUUAAUGCACUUCCACAAAUCUAAAAUAGAGUUCUCUGAUUAAAUGCAGUUUCUCUCAAGAAGUUUCUCUCAAGUAAUUCUUGGAAAAUAGUGUAAGCUGUGUAUACAGAUAAGUAGCACAGGAGGAGAAAAAAUGCAAGUAUGGUUAACUUCAUCUGUAUUUCUUCCACACAGAAGCAAACAGAGUUUCACUUCUGUAGAUGACAAGAGAGCAAAAACUUUUUAAUGCAUCUUAUGGUCCAAAUUCUAUGUUUCAUAAGCCAAGUAAAAAAACUAUCAAGUGCCUUGAUUCUGUCUCUCUUACUGUAAGGCUGGAAAAAUGAAAAAUGUGUGAAUGCAGAAUUAACUCAACUAGAACUGACAGCUCUCUACUCAUAGUCAACCAAGGGCAAAGGGAUGAUUUCAGGAAUGUAUUGCUAUUGAGGUGAGAAGCGUAGGGAAUGGAAGGUCCAAGAUCUGCUAACGUGGAGUGCCAGAACCACAUUUGGUGGUGUUAACGUGAGCCUGACAUAGAGAAUGCUACAAACAGCUCCACUCCAGCCUCCAAUGGCUCCAGCCCACUGGGUACGUUUGUUAGCAGCUCUUCUGUCGGUAGAGUAAAAUCAGUAAGGUAUUUCUGCAGGAGUUACACUGCGACUGCGUUAUACACUGCACAAAUGCUAGAAGUGUGCCAGUGGGGCUGCGCAAAUACCGAAUGAUACAUUAUACAUUAAUGUAUACAUUAUAUAUAAAUGUUACAUUAUAUAUAAAUGUAGGUAUCCGUGCAUGUAUAAUAUUUUACUGAAAAACUAAUUCACAGUGAGGUGUAAAAUACAAGUUCUGUAAGCGCUGGUAUUAAUUAAAGUUAUCUUCCUGUGCGUUCAAAUCUUAAUUGCGUGACCCCAGUACCUAAUAUGGUGUGAGUCCAGAUGUACUUUUUCUUUUCCAUGAGGUGUUUACCUGUUUGUUGGGAGUCGCCCUGCUGUUGGUAAGACACAUGGCUGUCAGUGUUGUGCCCUCAAAGUGAACUUAUAGGAUCUAGAUGUGCCCCCAAAUCAACCAACAGGUUGCAGGUGGAACAAAAGGGAAAUACAGAUAAAAAUACAACUUCCUGAAGGGAGGUUGUGAUGAAAAAGGGUCUGGCCUCUUCUCGCAGGCAAAUAGUAGGACCCGAGGAAACGGCCAGAAGCUGUACCAGAGGAGGUUUAGGUUGAAUAUUAGGAGAAACUUUUUCUCUCAGAGGGUGGUCAGGCACUGGAAUGUCUGCACAGGGAGGUGGUGGAGUCGCCGUCCCUGGCAGUGUUCAAGAGGCGCCUGGAUGAGGAGCUACGAGAUGUGGUUUAGUAGCUUGUGGUACUAAUAGCAAUGGGAGGGUGGUUGGACUGGAUGAUCUUGCAGGUCAUUUCCAACCUUGCGAUUCUAUGAUUCUACUGUUUGAAGCAGUGAUGUUUUCAUGGUGCAAUGUUCUGAUGAGGAAAUAGAUCAAAAACACCUAUUGAUUACUCCUCCAUAAUCUAUUAUUUGAGUGGAAUGUAGUUGUUGGGUUUUUUUUUUUUUUUUUUUUUUUUU